rnacentral:lncRNA from 1 species
CCGACUUUGGAUCGGCUUCUGACAGUCAGGGUCGUCAGUCGGGCGCGUCUGUUGAGUCGGGAGCCGACCGAACCUGACAAAGGUUCGGUAGUCGGGCUUCUGCUGACGCGUUCAGUCGAAUGUCGUCCGGCGCAUUGUCGGGGGAACGACAACAAGUCGGAUCCCAAUGCUCUUGCGUCGGGUAUUCAUUCUGUGUCUUUCGAUAUACGGUGGU